UCAAAUUACUUAUAUUAAAAUCAUUUAUUCCACAUUUAGCCGAAUAUGCAUCACCACAUAUGCAUACACAUAGUUACAUCAUCACAUAUGCAUACACAUAGCUCACAUUUAUAAUUUAACAUUAUACAACUAAUCUAACAACUACUUACCUUACUUUUACAACUAGAUAUAAGUACAUACCUGAGCUCUUUUAAAUUCGAUUUCCCAUUUAAUCUUCACUUAACUUUGCCCGUUGAACCAUUC
rnacentral:lncRNA from 1 species